rnacentral:rRNA from 1 species
AGAACGAACGCUGGCGGCAUGCCUAACACAUGCAAGUCGAACGCUCUUGGGGCUUCGGUCUCAGGGGAGUGGCGCACGGGUGAGUAGCGCGUGGGAACCUGCCCUGUUGUGGGGGAUAACCGAGGGAAACUUCGGCUAAUACCGCAUAAGCCGGUUGUCUUGAAGGAGAUGGCCGGGAAAGAUUUAUCGCGACAGGAGGGGCCCGCGUCGGAUUAGCUAGUUGGUGGGGUAACGGCCCACCAAGGCGGUGAUCCGUAGCUGGUCUGAGAGGAUGAUCAGCCACACUGGGACUGAGACACGGCCCAGACUCCUACGGGAGGCAGCAGUGGGGGAAUAGUUGGACAAUGGGCGCAAGCCUGAUCCAGCAAUGCCGCGUGAGUGAUGAAGGCCUUAGGUUGUAAAGCUCUUUCGCCCGCGACGAUGAUGACGGUAGCGGAGAAGACGCCCGGCUAACUUCGUGCCAGCAGCCGC